rnacentral:rRNA from 1 species
AUGCGAGUCGAGAGGGUUCGGCCCUCGGCUGACGGCUCAGUAACACGUGGAUAAUCUGCCCUUAGGUGGAGGAUAAUCUCGGGAAACUGAGGAUAAUACUCCAUAGAUCUAGGAUGCUGGAAUGCAUCUAGAUUGAAAGCUCUGGCGCCUAAGGAUGAGUCUGCGGACUAUCAGGUUGUAGUCAGGGUAAAGACCUGACUAGCCUACGACGGAUACGGGUUGUGAGAGCAAUAACCCGGAGACGAUAUCUGAGACACGAUAUCGGGCCCUACGGGGCGCAGCAGGCGCGAAAACUUCACACUGUGCGAAAGCGCGAUGAGGGAAUCCCAAGUGUUUGCUCGUAAGAGUAAACUGUUUCUUUGUUUAAAACGCAGAGAGAGUAAGGGCUGGGUAAGACGGGCGCCAGCCGCCGCGGUAAUACCUGCAGCUCAAGUGGUGAUCAUUAUUAUUGGGCCUAAAACGUCCGUAGCCGGUUUAGUAAAUGCCUGGGUAAAUCGUGUAGCUUAACUAUACGACUUCCGGGUAGACUGCUAAACUUGAGACCGGGAGAGGCUAGAGGUACUCCUGGGGUAGAGGUGAAAUUCUGUAAUCCUAGGGGGACCACCAGUGGCGAAGGCGUCUAGCUAGAACGGGUCUAACGGUGAGGGACGAAGCCCUGGGGCACAAACCGGAUUAGAUACCCGGGUAGUCCAGGGUGUAAACGCUGCUUGCUUGAUGUUAGUUGGGCUCCGAGCCCAACUAGUGUCGGAGAGAAGUUGUUAAGCAAGCUGCCUGGGAAGUACGGUCGCAAGGAUGAAACUUAAAGGAAUUGGCGGGGGAGCACAGCAACGGGUGGAGCGUGCGGUUUAAUUGGAUUCAACGCCGGAA